UAUUUUCAUGUUUGGGAAGAGCAAAAAUGACUUCUGGGCAGUCAUUCAUUGGCAGAAGAUGUCUGACCUGCAGGCCCAACUGAAGUUUCUACAGUGGCUUCUAAGCAAACAGAUCCCCUGGAGACCAGCAAGAUCCUUUCCAUUUGGAAUGACGGCAGUGAAGAGUUAGCCUGUGGAUUUGUUAUAGACUAAAGACAAUGGAUGUUGUUUAUCUACCAGAGAGUAAAGAGGCUUUUAGAGACAAGUCAGAAAGGCUGCCAUCACUCCUGUCAGCAUCAUGAUCUCUAGAGCUGGGCUCCUCUUCCCUCAAGGAUUCAAUUGGCCACUCUUAGAGGGAUGGCAGAAGGCUGGAUUUUCUUCUCAUCACAUUUUACACCGGGAUCCCCUCCUCUGACCACCCUGUCAUCAAGUGUGUGUCCUUGGAGAAAUAACUUAACCUGCCUGAACCUCAGUUUGCCCAUCUUUGAAAGAGCUAUAAGAUACACAGUGGGUCCCGUGUGUCCGGGAUCGGUGUCUGAUGUCAUAAUCUUGUCUCUGCCGUAGCGCUUUGUGCGAACAAAUCCUUA